AUUGAACGCUGGCGGCAGGUCUAACACAUGCAAGUCGAGCGGAUGAAGAGAGCUUGCUCUCUGCUUUAGCGGCGGACGGGGGCGUAAUGCUUAGGAAUAUGUCUGGUAUUGGUGGAUAACGCUCCGAAAGCAACGCUAAUACCGCAUACGUCCUACGGGAGCAAGCAGGGGACCUUCUGGCCUUGAGCUAUCUAAUGAGCGUAGGUCGGAUUAGCUAGUUGGUGAGGUAAGGGCUCACAAAGGCGACGAUCCGUACCUGGUCUGAGAGGAUGAUCAGUCACACUGAAACUGAGACACGGUCCAGACUCCUACGGGAGGCAGCAGUGGGGAAUAUUGGACAAUGGGCGAAAGCCUGAUCCAGCCAUGCCGCGUGUGUGAAGAAGGUCUUCGGAUUGUAAAGCACUUUACGUUGGGAGGAAGGGCAGUAAGUUAAUACCUUGCUGUUUUGACGUUACCGACAGAAUAAGCACCGGCUAACUUCGUGCCAACAGCCGCCGUAACAC
rnacentral:rRNA from 1 species